GAUGAACGCUGGCGGCGUGCCUAAUACAUGCAAGUCGAGCGAACGGACGAGAAGCUUGCUUCUCUGAUGUUAGCGGCGGACGGGUGAGUAACACGUGGAUAACCUACCUAUAAGACUGGGAUAACUUCGGGAAACCGGAGCUAAUACCGGAUAAUAUUUUGAACCGCAUGGUUCAACAGUAAAAGACGGUCUUGCUGUCACUUAUAGAUGUAUCCGCGCUGCAUUAGCUAGUUGGUAAGGUAACGGCUUACCAAGGCAACGAUGCAUAGCCGACCUGAGAGGGUGAUCGGCCACACUGGAACUGAGACACGGUCCAGACUCCUACGGGAGGCAGCAGUAGGGAAUCUUCCGCAAUGGGCGAAAGCCUGACGGAGCAACGCCGCGUGUGUGAUGAAGGUCUUCGGAUCGUAAAACUCUGUUAUUAGGGAGGAACAUAAGUAUAAGUAAAUGUGCACAUCUUGACGGUACCUAAUCAGAAAGCCACGGCUAACUACGUG
rnacentral:rRNA from 1 species